rnacentral:rRNA from 1 species
GACGAACGCUGGCGGCGUGCUUAACACAUGCAAGUCGAGCGGUAAGGCCCUUUCGGGGGUACACGAGCGGCGAACGGGUGAGUAACGCGUGGGAAUCUGCCCGGUCGUGGGGAACAACUCGGGGAAACUCGAGCUAAUACCGCAUACGACCGGCGCCUUGAAUUGCUUUACGGACGGGAAGAUCCGGGUGAUAGAGUGAUUCAAGGCGCCGGUGAAAGCGGGGGACCCGAGCACCAUAGCCUUUGCUUCGUUCNGGAAGAGCGAGAGGGGUUGGAGAGGCUGAGGUGCUGGGCCUCGUGCGAUCGGAUGAGCCUGCGUUGGAUUAGCUGGGUUGGUGGGGUAAAGGCCUACCAAGGCGACGAUCCAUAGCUGGUCUGAGAGGGCGACCAGCCACACCGGGACUGAGACACGGCCCGGACUCCUACGGGA